rnacentral:rRNA from 1 species
AGAGUUUGAUCUUGCUUCGGAUGAACGCUAGCGAUAGGCUUAACACAUGCAAGUCGAGGGGCAGCAUGUCCAGCAAUGGAUGAUGGCGACCGGCGGAAGGGUGCGUAACGCGUGAGCAACAUGCCCUAUACAGGGAGAUACACCAGGGAAACUUGGUCUAAUAUCCCAUAGCAUUCAUUGAAGGCAUCUUUAAUGAAUUAAAGCUUCGGUGGUAUAGGAUUGGCUCGCGUGACAUUAGCCAGAUGGUGAGGUAACGGCUCACCAUAGCAAUGAUGUCUAGGGGUUUUGAGAGGAAGGCCCCCCACACUGGGACUGAGACACGGCCCAGACUCCUACGGGAGGCAGCAGUGAGGAAUAUUGGACAAUGGAUGGAAAUCUGAUCCAGCCAUGCCGCGUGCAGGAAGACGGCCUUAUGGGUUGUAAACUGCUUUUAUACGGGAGCAAUAAGGGUUACGAGUAAUCCGAUGAGAGUACUGUAUGAAUAAGGAUCGGCUAACUCCGUGCCAGCAGCCGCGGUAAUACGGAGGAUCCGAGCGUUAUCCGGAAUUAUUGGGUUUAAAGGGUGCGUAGGCGGCCAUUUAAGUCAGCGGUGAAAUUUUGCAGCUUAACUGUAACAGUGCCGUUGAUACUGUUUGGCUAGGAUUUGGUUGUAGUGUGCGGAAUGUGUGGUGUAGCGGUGAAAUGCUUAGAUAUCACACAGAACACCGAUUGCGAAGGCAGCACACUAAGUCAUUAUUGACGCUGAGGCACGAAAGUGUGGGGAUCAAACAGGAUUAGAUACCCUGGUAGUCCACACUGUAAACGAUGAUAACUCGCUGUCGGCGAUACACAGUCGGGGCCAAGCGAAAGC